rnacentral:rRNA from 1 species
GACGAACGCUGGCGGCGUGCUUAACACAUGCAAGUCGAGCGGUAAGGCCUCUUCGGGGGUACACGAGCGGCGAACGGGUGAGUAACACGUGGGUGACCUGCCCUCAGCUCUGGGAUAAGCCUGGGAAACUGGGUCUAAUACCGGAUAUGACCUUUCCUCGCAUGGGGUUUGGUGGAAAGUUUUUUCGGCUGGGGGUGGGCCCGCGGCCUAUCAGCUUGUUGGUGGGGUGAUGGCCUACCAAGGCGACGACGGGUAACCGGCCUGAGAGGGCGACCGGCCACACUGGGACUGAGACACGGCCCAGACUCCUACGGGAGGCAGCAGUGGGGAAUAUUGCGCAAUGGGCGGAAGCCUGACGCAGCGACGCCGCGUGGGGGAUGACGGCCUUCGGGUUGUAAACCUCUUUCGACCCCGACGAAUUUGGACGGUAGGGGUAGAAGAAGCACCGGCCAACUACGUG